rnacentral:tRNA from 1 species
CAGGGGUUAGUUUAUUAAAAUGUUGAUUUUGGAGAUCAAUGAUAGGAGAUUUUCUACCCUUGA